rnacentral:rRNA from 1 species
AAUCAACGCUGGCGGCGUGCCUCAGACAUGCAAGUCGAACGAUUAAAGCUCUCUUCGGAGAGUGUAUAGAGUGGCGCACGGGUGAGUAACACGUAAGUAAUCUACCUUUGAGUGGGGAAUAACAGUCGGAAACGGCUGCUAAUACCGCAUAAUGCAGCGGCAUCGCAAGAUGACAGUUGUUAAAGGAGCAAUCCGCUUAAAGAGGAGCUUGCGGCAGAUUAGCUUGUUGGUAAGGUAACGGCUUACCAAGGCUACGAUCUGUAUCCGGUCUAAGAGGACGGUCGGACACACUGACACUGAAUAACGGGUCAGACUCCUACGGGAGGCAGCAGUCGGGAAUUUUGGGCAAUGGGCGAAAGCCUGACCCAGCAACGCCGCGUGAAGGAUGAAGUAUUUCGGUAUGUAAACUUCGAAAGAAUAGGAAGAAUAAAUGACGGUACUAUUUAUAAGCUCCGGCUAACUACGUGCCAGCAGCCGCCGU